rnacentral:lncRNA from 1 species
CCGGAACCGGGACCUACACCCACCGCGCAGGCGGAAGGAGCUGAGCCACCCCUCACCUUGGCGGGUGUCCGUCCCUACUCCCCCAGGGGUGGAAGUCGGGGUUCUCCUAAGCCGCUGCCUAAGGCGGAAGAGCCGCGGGCUUGGGGCGGAGCUCUCUGGGUGGGGCGGGGCGGGAGGGGACCCGCGGAGUGCCUUCACGCAGGGGCCCGGCGGGAACAAACCGCCGCCGCGGCGGGAGCUGGGUUCGCGUGGCUGGAGGCGGGUCCUCCCCUUCCCACUGUUCCCGCAAGUCCUCGGCUCCCGGGAACCUCUGCCUUCAGGGCGCUCAGUUCUUGGAAGUCAAGGCGGGCUCCAGCCAGAGCUGGUAGAAGUGGUGGCAGCCCCCGCCCAUCAUCUCCCCAAAGCAGCGCCCGGAGCCACCAGGGCCGAAGCGCCGUUGGAUCGCGAGCGGGAGCCUGAGACGUCCAGACCAGCGGAGCCUUGCAGGGCCCGCCGGAGCCCAAGCGGCUUCCGGCCCAAGGGGGUGAGUGAUCUCGAGGAGGAAACCGGGCGUUCGCAUCCUCGCGCCUCCGAGAGAUGUGCAGUUUCCAAAACAAUUUACCUCUGCUGGAAAAGGAAAUAAACCAAGUAAAAGGAAGAUAUGGAAUCCAGGAAGCAGAAGAUUCAAUACAGAACAGAGAUGGAGGGAAUUCCAGGUCCACAUCUGUGCAGCAGACAUGGAAAGCUGUCAGUCCAGACUGGAACUGGAGGAUGGAGGGAUUUGGGAGAGAUGUCUCCAGGAAGGCAAAAGCAUGCAACCAAAAGGAGUGAUGAAUUUCAUAAUAAGUUUGACUCACAAAAAAAGUGUACCACCGUACUAUCAGAAGGUAUGGGAAGAUUUAGCAGUAAGUAUAAAGGAAGCUAAGCAAAUAAAAACUCCCAAGGCAUUAUUAAUUCCAGGAAAAAUAAAAAGUUGCAUCUCCAAAGAAAGGAGUUGUGAUCAUGGUCCACUAGUAACUUAUCAAAGAAUAAUAUUUAUACAGUAGUAAUAAUGUAAGUACUAAGGACUGACUUAACCAAAAGUUGGUGAUAUAGGUAGAAAUGGGAAGAGAGAGACAUUUUAGAGGUAAAUGAUCAUCUAUUGUAAUAGAAAGUUAAAUCAUUACUGUUUCAAGAGAGAGGAGUAUAAGCAUGGAGAUAUGGAAGUAUAUUCCAUAAGAAACAAAUACAAAUUGAAAGUAGAUGUACAGGGGAAGAUGUAGGUUUCCUAAGAGUGGGGGGAAAUGCAGGUUUCCUAAGAGUAGGGUAAGACACCACUGUAAGCCUUUG